CUCUUUCAGACUUUCACUGUUGCACAUAACCCUAAAACAUGAUAACAUUCAAAUUUUCAAAUCCCUACUUUUUUUCCUCUCUCUCUCUCUCUCAGACCCUCAUCUAGUCAGGAAGUCAUCCUAGCUCACAUUUCUUAUAAUUAUUUUGUAUUUUGAACUAUUGGACAUGUUGCAUCAAAUUGUAGGUAAUGUUCUAUAAAAAUUAAACUAUUGAUUAUAUAAUGUCAAGAAUUUCAAUCGGCUCGUUUAGAGCUCGAGCUCGGCUCGACUCGAAAUUAGGCUCGCUCGAGCUCGGUUCGAAUUAAUUUCAAGCCGAGCUUGAGCCUAGAUUUAGGCUCGCAAUUAAUUUCAAGCCGAAUUUGAGCUGACAUAAGCUCGCUCGAGCUCGGCUCGUUUCCACCCCUACGUAUCUAUAGAGGGGUUGGUAACAACUGGUGUCGUAUCUGAAGGUAAGAGAUCGGAAUGUCAAUGGACACUGCCACGUGAGAUUUUUUUUUGAACCGGAAUUCGAUGUUGAAAUUUUAUAAGAAACUAAGAUUGUACUUUCUGCCAUGAUUUCGAUUUCUGUAUCCGAAUUGUUGACGGUGAUUUUUGCUCGUGGUUCGUUCUCGUUCGCGAUCUGCAAAUUAGCGGGAUAUUUCGAGUCUAAUUCCCUUAUUCCCGGAGAUGGAGCCAUCACAGACAAUUGGAUUAGGGUUAGAGCGGGACUCCCGUAUGUUACAUAUUUAUAUAUAACUUAAUGUAAGAAUGUUAAAUCGCGUCCGUCCAUUAAGAACGUGUUCAGAUACAUCCUAACUGUAAGAUCUACCUUAUCUCUAUAGAUCGACUUAAAUAGAUUGACUGUAUCUUUAUGGAUCGCCUUAAAUAUAUCACGUGGGCCACAUCCAACAUUCUCCCACUUGGUCUAGUGAUAUAUUUAUUACCGUAUAGGCGAUACAAAAUAUUAUUAGGUACCAACUAAAUUAUACAGUCAAAAUUUUUCACUCGACCAAGAAAUCACAAUAAUUUGAUCAUAACGGUUAUGCCUCAAAAGAUGAACACUUUCUUCCAUGUAUCAAAAGUACGAAUUCCUUAAUCAAAUAACUUUAUGAGUUACAACCGUAUGAACUUAUUAUAAGUUCAACUCAGAGUCCCACUUUAGUGCACAUUAAUACUUUAAUGUACAAAAGAUAACUUUAUGCGUAUAUGUGCAAAAAAUCAAAAUGUGUUCUUAUUCAAAUAAACACAGUCUUUAAAGUCUUUAUAUAAGAAGAAAACACUUAAAUUGUAAAUGGACUCAAGAUACCCAUAUGAUGAAUAUGAUCCUUGAAUUUAUUUACCGACAAUGCUUUAGUCAUAGAAUCAGCAAUUAUCAUCUCGGUUCCAAUGUGUUGGAUAUCCACCUUCUUCUUGUAAUAUUCUUUCACAGCAAGAUAUUUUAUAUCGAUAUGUUUGCUGCGAUCUGUAAUUCGACUAUUCUUAGCAAAGAACACUGCAACAGAGUUGUCGCAAUAAAUCUUAAUUGGUCAUGAGAUGGAAUCGACAACUCUUAAAUCUGAGAUAAAAUUUCUCAGCCAUAAAGUCUGUGACGAAACCUCAUAACAAGCGAUGAACUCUACCUCUAUAGUGGAUGUAGCAACUGUAUCUUACUUAGUGCUCCCCCAUAAUAUAACACCUUGAGCAAGUAAGAAAAUAUAUCCUGAUGUGGACUUUAUAAAAUCCACGCAUGUAGCAAAAUCAGAAUCCAAAUAUCCAACCACCUCAAGAUAAUCAGAAUGUUUGUAGGUGAGCAUAUAGUCCUUUUUUCCUUGUAAAUAUCUCAUAACCUUUUUUACAGCUUUCCAGUGAUCAAGGCAGGGGUUGCUUUGGUAUCUACUCAACAUCCCCACUGCAUAAGCUAUAUCAGGUCCGGUACAGAUUUGCGCAUACAUCAAGUUUCCUACUGUAGUAUAGGGUAUGCUCUUCAUAUGUUCUCGUUCUAAAUCAUUCUAAAGAUACUGUUUCUAAUUGAACCUGUCACCUUUUAUAAUAGGCGCAGCUGUAGGUGCACAGUUUAUCAUAUUAAACUUUUAUAGAACUCUUUCGAUGUAGGCUUUCUGAGAUAGGCCCAAAAUCCUUUGAGAUUUAUUUCUGUGAAUUUUUAUGCCAAUGACAUAAGAAGCUUCACCCAUAUCUUUCAUCUCAAAAUUCUUAGAAAGAAAAUUUUUAGUCUCUUUAUGCAAAUUCAAAUCACUAUUUGUAAGCAGAAUGUCAUCUACAUACAGGACUGAGAAAAUAUAUUUACUCAUACUAAUCUUAAGGUAUAUGCAUUGAUCCACAAUAUUUUCUACGAAACCGAAUGCAGUAAUUACAUUAUGGAACUUGAUAUACCACUGACGGGAAGCCUGUUUAAGUCUGUAUAUAGAUUUCUUUAGUCUGUAAACAAGGUGAUUAUUUUCAUCUGUGCUAAAACCUUUGGGCUGUUGCAUAUAGACUAUCUCCUCUAUAUCGCCAUUUAGAAAUGUCGUUUUCACAUCCAUCUGAUAUAACUCCAAAUCAAAAUGAGCUACCAAAACCAUGAUAAUUCUUAAUGAAUCCUUCUUUGACACCGGAGAGAAGGUUUCAUGAUAAUCAAUGCCUUCCUUUUGAGUGAAACCUUUGGCAACAAGUCUGGCCUUAUAUCGUUUUAUGUUACCCAAAGAGUCCUUUUUGGUCUUGAAAAUCCAUUUACAGCCAAUGGGUUUGACUCCUUGUGGUAAUUCAACGAGAUCCCAAACUUUAUUAUCCACCAAAGAUUUCAUCUUUUCCUUUAUGGCAUCAUACCAUAGGGAGGGUUUAUCUCCAUGCAUGGCUUCUGAAAACGUCCAUGGGUCUUUAUGGUGUCCGUCAUCAAAGUCAGACUCCUGAAAAUAGACUACAUAAUCAUCAGGAAUUGCAGAUCUUCUUUCUCUUGAUGAUCUUCUUAAGUCAACCUUUUCCUGCAGAUUUUUAUUAUUCUGUGCAGCUGGCUCUAUAAUUAUCUGUUCUUCUUGGGACAAAUCCUCAUCGGGAGGUUCAAUUGGUUCAGCAUUUUCAUGCUAUAAGAUUAGUUGAUCUCUAUUACGGUCAAAUUGACCUCCUGGAAGAGCAACUAAAUUAUUAUCUGUUGAUGGAUAACUAGUUGAAUCCCUUAUUUUCUCAAAAUUCAUCUUUUGAGGAACAACACUCCCAUUAGCUUCAGAAUCCUCAAAAAAUUUGGUAUUCCUGGCUUCAAUUAUCUUGGAAGGGUGAUUUGGACAAUAGAACCUGAAUAUUUUGGAGUUUACCGCAUAGCCAAUGAAAUAUCCACUGACUGUUCGAGGGUCCAACUUCUUUAUGUGUGGAUUAUAAACCCUCACCUCAGCUGGACAUCCCCAUACAUUCAGGUGAUUUAAACUAGGUUUCCACCCUUUCCAUAACUCAAAAGGAGUUUUGAAAAUAGCCUUCAAUGGAAUCCUAUUUAAAACAUACACCGCUGCCUUUAGUGCUUCACUCCAAAAAGAAGAUGGAAGACAAGAGCUACUAAUCAUGCUCCUUACUAUGUCCAUGAGUGUUCUAUUCCUCCUUUCGGCAACGCCAUUUUGUUGGGAUGUGCCAGGCAUCGUAUACUGUGCAAUGAUGCCUUCACCUUUGAGGAAUUGACCAAAUGGACCGAUCAUUUGACCUUUAUCCGUAUGUCUUCCAUAAUACUCACCCCAUCUGUCGGACCUUACAAUCUUGAUUUUCCUAUCCAAUUGUUUCUCUACCUUAGCCUUAUAAGCUUUAAAAGUAUUAAGAGCCUCAGCUUUUUCAAAUAAAAGGUAGAGAUACAUAUAUCUUGAAUGGUCAUCAAUGAAUGAGAUAAAAUAUCUCUGACCGUUGAAACAUAGAGUAGGAAAAGGUCCACAGAUAUCUAUAUGUAUGAUCUUAAGAAUUUCAUAACUCCUUUUGGCACCUUUAGUGGUAUUUGUGUUAGUAUACUUUCCCUUUAUGCAUUCCACACAAGUAUCAAAAUCGGUAAAAUUAAGAUCUUUUCUUUUACCAACCUCUUUAUCCUCUCUAAAGAGAUAUGAGCUAAACGCUUAUGGCAUAAAUAGGAAGAGUUUUCUUUAAUAAUGUUCCUUUUAAUACCAACGUUAUAAUCAACAUUAAAAUUAUUUUCAAAACAUUGACUCAAAUUAAAUUUGUACAAAUCAUCUACCAAAUAACUAUUGCCAACAAUAACAUUAUCGGAUAACAUAAUAAAAUAUUCAUUUUCAAAUAAAAAUUUGAAGCCUUUAUUUCUCAAUUUAGAAACAGAAACUAAAUUUCUAGAAAAUUUAGGAACAUAAAAAGUAUCCUCAAGUUCAAGUACAAAACCAGUACUAAGUUCUAAAAUAAAUUUUCCUACGGCUUCAACUUGAGAUUUAUUUCCUUCUCCACUAAUUAAAAUCCUUUCAUUUGGUUUUAACAUCGUUAGAUUGUGAAAACCCUGCAUGGUAUUUGAGAUAUGUACAAUAGUUCCAAAGCCAAUCCAUCAUGUGUUUUUAGGAACAUUAACUAAAUGAGAUUCAUAAUAAAUAUAGAUAGUUUCAAUACCCUUCUUUUCGAGCCAAACUUUAUAGGAGCUGACAAACUGCUCCUCAAUAGCCUUUAGGUAAUCUUUGACUUUAUCACAUUCUGGAAUCGAUCCCCUUAUGCUUUUUGAUAUUCUAAACUUUAUGAGUAUCAAACUUAAGCGGUUAGAUCGCUCCCACUUUUCCUGCGCGAAUUUCUGCUGUGGAGUCAUUGGCCCUACUACCUUAGGCGGUUGCUCAAUGCGCAAAACUAAGUCUAAAUCCAUAUAAUCCAAAGUAAAAGAAAUAAUUUCUUUUCAAUCGGAAUAAUUGUCCCCAGUAAGCAUAGGAAUAUGAGAAACAUCAUUAAGAAAUACAAUAGAGGAAGAAGUUGCAAAAAUAAAAAAAAAUUGAACUUCAUCGCCUACUAUAAGAUAAUAAUUUUUAAAUUAGAUAAAUUCUAUCUUUCUGUGGGCAGUGGCGCUACACGUAUAGAAUUUAUCAACUUUAAUAAUAAGACUAGCAGAAAACUAAUUUCUAAAUAACAAGAUUUCUGUACCUGUGGGCAUAAGAAAACUCGCUAUCUAGAAAUUCAAUCUACUGUCUUAUUCCAGUCAAAAUUAAGAAAAUUAUUUUAUUCGACUGCAAUAAAUAGUCAAACUUUAAUUCAAUAUCAAUAAUACCUUAUAUAUUUUUCAUUAUCUAUAGGAUGCUGUGAUUACUCCUAAGCAUAAUGAAAAAUAUAAAUAAUCUUAUUUGACAUUGAAUGACCAUUUAAAAUAAAUUGGAAAUCCAUAUGAAUUUUCGGGUUAACUUUAAUUCAAUAUCAUCUUAUAAAAAUUUCGUAAGUGAUCAUAUACCAUGAUUAGGAUACUGUGGCUACUCCUAAACAUAGUUGAUCUCAUAAGUCCGUAUAUGAUAUGAAUGACCGAAAAUUUCAUAUUAUUUCAAAACGCAGCGGAAAAAGAAUAAAAGUCUUGAAUAAUUUUCUUAAGAACCUUAUGUGACUCAAGAUUUAUAAACUGUAUAAAGUCUAUAUACUCUACUCUUAAAUUUUUAUGAUCACCUUAUAUAUGUUUAGAGUAAUAAUGUAAAAAUAUACCGUAAAAUAUUAAACUAAAUAUACUAAUUUAUAUUAUGAAUAAACAAACGAGAGGAACAGAAAUUAUAUAUAAUAAAUACCAAAAGUUAUACGUAAUUUUAAUAUAUAGACUUCUUCAAAAUGAGUCACGAAAGAAAAUGAUAAACCAAAAUUAUAAAUAUAUAUAUACAUAUAUAUCUAUUCUCUUAUCCUUAUUCAUUAAGAAAAAAUAAAUGAAUACAUAUAUACCUUCGGCAGCCCCACAUUGGGCUGCAUUGUGCAGUCAACAAAUCUUUUUUUAACUUUUUUUUAUUGCAUUGACCGCCACCUAGUGCGGCCCCUUGUGGGCCGCACAUUACGCCCCCUCGGGUGGCGUGGUGGCCCGAGUCCGCCACACUACUCCCUUCUUUUUUUUCUUUUUUUUCUUUUUUUUUGAUUAGGAGCCGCAACCUCCUCAUUCCAAUGGGGUUUGCUUUAUGCGGCCCCUGUAUAGGGACGCCUAUUAAGACGGUGCAAUUUCAUCGAUUUCGGUUGCGGCCAGCCAAGUGACGUCGUUCCUCUGAACGCUGGUCUCAAUUCUAAAUGAAAUAAAUGAAGCGAGUAGCGUGCUACCUAUCUCUCAAAAAGAAAAAAAAAAAAACAACUGGUGUCGUAUCUAUAUUACUACAAGGUAAGAGUUUGGAACGUCAAUGGACACUGCUACGUGAGAUUUUUUUUUGAACCGGAAUUUGAAUCCAAUCAAUGAGGGUUUAAUCAAUACUAAGGCCCCGUUUAGAUACAUCAAAAAACGUAGCAUUGUUAAACUAUACUAUGCCGGUAGGAAUAUAGUCCUAUGAAGAGUUUGGAAGAAAAAAAAAAUGACGUAAUUUUUGGAGUAUAGUUAUAUUAUAAUUCAAAAAAUGAAGUAAACUUACAAUCCACUUUAACCAAAGAAAAAAAAUUUCACCAUUUUGGACUCCAAAAAAUGUAUCAAUUUCUAAACUUUAAAUUUCAACAUAAAAUUUUAAAUUUCAAAUUUUAAAAUUUUAAAAUUCAAUUUUAAUUUUGAUUUUAAAUUUUAAAUUUUAAAUUUCAAAUUUCAAAAAGUUCAAAUUUCAAAUUUCAAAUUUCAAUUUUUGAAUUUCAAAUUUCAAAUUUUGAAUUUCAAAUUUCGAAUUUCAAAAAGUUCAAAUUUCAAAUUUCAAAUUUUAAAUUUCAAAUUUCAAAUUUCAAAUUUCAAAUUUCAAAUUUCAAAUUUCAAAUUUUAAUUUUAUUUGUAAUUUUUAUUUUUCAAUUUUCAAAAUUUAAAUUUAAACUUAAAUUUUAAAUUUUAAAUUUAUAAAUAUGUAAAUUUAUAAAUUAUUAAAUUUAAAAUUUAAAAUUUUAAUUAUAGAUUUUUUAAAUUUCAAAUUUUAAAGUUUAAAUGGUAUACUUUACAUUUUAAAAUUUAAAGUUUCAAAUUUCAAAUUUUAAAUUUCAAAUUCCAAAUUUCAAAUUUCAAAUUUAAAACAUAAAAUCUAAUUUAAUUUUUUAAUUUUUAAUUUUUAAUUUUAAUUUUAUAUUUUGAAUUUUGAAUUUUAAUUUUUAAAAUUUUAUUUUUAAAUUUUGAGUUUUGAAUUUUAAAAUUUUAAAAAUUUAAUUGUUAUAAAUACUGUGAAAUUGUAUGAUAUGUAUCCAAACAGCUUAAAAAUAAAGCUGUGGAAUUUUUUUAUAAUUACAUGAUUACGUAUUUAAUUUAGACCAAAACAAUAGAAUAAAAAUUUCAUGGGGUUUUUUAACUAUCCAUCCAAACAGGGCCUAAAUGGAUAUGAUUUUUGUUAUAAUUAUUAUAUUUUACCUGAAUCCGAACACCACAGGUUUAACUAAUACGCGCUAAUUAAACAUAUUUUAUUUCAGUUAUGAAUAUAAAAUUCCAACCCGUUCGAAUUCAGGUUCAGUUGUGGUUAUUGUCUAUAACACACAGUGAAUACGAACCCAAACCCAGAACCAAAACGGUACAUAUGCAACCAUAUGUUAUUACCCAGAUAAUAUAAAGUGAUAGGAUGUAACUAAUUGCCAUUUCAAGUAAAUUGGACUGCUUCACCAAAUAAUUAAUAAAAUAGUUGGUGGUAAUUACAAAAUUCAACUUAAUUUGUCAUUUUCAGAGUCAAUAGUUAUGCAAUGAAGUAAAUAUUUUCUCUCAAAUUUCUCCCCAAUUUUUCUUCUCUCUUUCUGACCAUCCAUCAAAAUUGAUGAAUUAUUAGAAAGUUAGAAAUACAAUGGCCGAUGUUCUCUUAAUCGCAUAGUAAUCCUACUAUAUAUAUAUAUAUAUAUAUAUAUAAUAUAUUAUAUAUAUAAUAUAUUGUGUGCUUGUAAAGCACCAAGCAGCUUAGUGCUUAUAAUAAUUUCUUGCCAUUAGAUUACACCUUUGAUCAUUUUUAUCCGUUGAUUUUAUAUUCAUCGAACCACCGACUCAAUCCAUAAGGGCCACAUCACCUAAUCCGCAUAUUCCUUAAUUAAAGGGUCGAAACUUACAAGCACUAAGACUAGUAUUUUAAAACAUGGAGCUCAAUUAUAUAGUGGGUGGUUUGGUUGAAGUAGUAUUCUAACGGUGAAAAUUUUUUAUUUUUUAGCAGUAACUAUCGCCGGCAUCGCGCGUACUAUAUAAUAUAUACUAUAUAUAUAUAUAUAUAUUUAUAUUAUAUAUAUAUAUAUAAAUAUUAUAGUAUAAAAUAUUGUUGCUGUGUGUGUGUGUUGUGUGGGUGUGUGUUGUUGGGACGUGAACGAACGUGCACGCGCGGCUGGCGGUGAGGAUAUAUAUAUAUAUACUAUAUUUAUAUAUUAUAUAAAUAUACUAUAUAUUAUACAUAUAAUAUAUAAGCAUGUGGGGGACGUGAAAUACGUCGGCCGCGUGCAGUGCGGAGGACUGGGAACAACUUGUGCGCAGCUGGCGGUGGCGGCUAUAUAUAUAUAAUAUAGAGGAGAGAGAGAGAGAGAGAGUGUGAGGCACUAUGGCUAUCGGAAGGCACGGAGCCAUACGCUUUCAGCUCGUUUUCGAUGUGCCACUUUCGAAUCGUCGAUCGGCUCCGUUAAACUUGAUCUAGAGCAUUUGGAGUAUCUAAAAAAUAAAUUUUAUUAUUUUUCGAUAUCAUUUGCAUAGUGAUCAAAUGAGUUCAAAAUCAACAAAUUUCAAUGGCCGUAGUGAGCCGUUUGCAAGUUUAACGGUGUAGAAAUAUCCAAAUCACGUGAAAUUUUGAUAGAAAAUUCUUUAUACUAUAUAAAACAAGAUCAAUAUUUUUGAUUUAAAAUUUUAAUGUCUUAUUAUUAUAUUUUGUAAGAUUUUUAUAUAAAACAAGAUCACGUGAAAUUUAAUUUCUAGAUAGUUUAAAUAGUCUAAAUCAUGUUCGGCGGUGCCGAUCGUCGAUUAGGAAGCUCUAUUAUUGAAAACAAAUCGAUAGUAAACGGAGCCGUUUACAACCGAUAGUAGCCGGUCAAGCUCUAUAUAUAAUUUGUUUUUGAUGAUUAAACUUCAAAAUCGACAAUCAGUUUUAUUAGAAUUGAUCUAGCGUAUUUGAAAUAUGUAGAAAAUAAAUUUUAUGAUUUUUUUAUAUCAUUUACCUAAUGAUCGAAAUAAUUUAAAAUCAAUAAUUUUUAAUGGUUGAUGUGUAUAGUUUGCAAGUUUAAUAUUGUAGAAGUAUUCAAAUUAGAUGAAAUUUUGAUAAAAUUUUUUUUAUACUAUUGAGAGUAAGAUUAAUAUCUCUGAUCGAAAAUUUCAGUGCUAUAUCAUAAUUUUUGUGAAUUUUUUUUUUCAAUCUUUAAUUUUGAAUCCUUUCGGUCACUAGAUAGAUAAUAUUGAAAAACUACAAAAUUUAUUUUCUUGAUAUUUUAAAUAUGCUAGAUUAAAUCUAAGCUGAUAAUCGAUUCGAAAGUUCUAUUAUCGAAAACAGCUUAGGAGCAUGAAAAUCUUCUAUAUAUAUAUAUAUAUAUAUAUAUAUAUACAUAGAGAGAGAGGAGAGAGAGAGAGAGAGAGGAGAGAGAGAGAGAGAGAGAGUAGAUCUUGUGGGCUAUUUAGGAGCACGGAGGCCUUCAUGCUCCUAAGCUGCUUGCGAUGAUAGAGUUUCCGAAUCGACGAUUGACUUGGUUAAACUUGAUCUAGCGCAUUUGAAGUAUCUAAAACAUAAAUUUUAUGAUUUUUCGAUAUCAUUACCUACCGAUCGAAAGAGUUCAAAAUCCAUGACUGAAAAUAAAAAUCUCACAGAAAGAAGUGAUAUAAUAUUAAAACUUUUGAUCAGAGAUAUUGAUCUUCCUGUAAAUACUAUAAAAAAUUUUCUAUCAAAAUUUCAUCUGAUUUGAAUACUUCUAUCCCGUUAAAUUUGCAAACGGUAUAUAUUAACCAUUAAAAAUUGUUGAUUUUGAACUCUUUUGAUCGUUGGGUAAAUGAUAUUGAAAAAUCACAAAAUUUAUUUUCUAAAUAUUUCAAAUAUGUUAGAUCAAGUCUAACGAAACUAAUCGUUAAUUCAAAAGCUCUAUCAUCAAAAAUGGCUCUGGAGUACAGAGGCCUCUGUGCUCCUAAACAAGACCUACUUUUAUAUAUAUAUAUAGAGUAGGGCUGCUAUGCUCUCAAGCCUCCGUGCUCCUGAGCCGUUUUCGAUGAUGAAAUUUUCGAAUCGACGAUCGGCUCGUUAGACUUGAUCUAGAAUAAUUAAAGUUUCUAGAAAAUAAUUGUUGCGAUUUUUUGAUAUCAUUUACCUAGCAAUCGAAAGGAUUCAAAAUCAAUAAUUUUUAACGGCUGAAAAUAAAAAUCAUAUAAAAAGUGGUGAUAUAAUAAUAAAAUUUUUUAUCAGAAAUAUUGAUCUUGUUGUAGAUAGUAUAAAGAAUUUUGUAUCAAAAUUUCAUCCGAUUUGAAUAAUUUUAUACCGUUAAAUUCGAAAACAGCAUAUAUCAACCAUUAAAAAUUAUUGCUGUUGAAUCCUUUCGAUUACUAAGUAAAUGAUAUCAAAAAAUUACAAAAAUUAUUUUCUAGAAACUUCAAAUACCUUAGAUCAAGUCUAACGGAGCCGAUCGUCGAUUCAAAAAUUCCAUCAUCGAAAACGGCCUCCGUGCUCCUGAGAGCACAGCAGCCCUACUAUAUAUAUAUAUAUAUAUAUAUAUAUAGUCUGACUAUUAUACUCUUAUGAGUACAAUCGCCUCCGUAUUCAUAAGUUGUUUUCGAUGAUAGAACUUCCGAAUCGACGAUCCACACCGUUAAACGUUAUGCAGAGUAUUUAAAGCGUCUAGAAAUUAAAUUUUAUAAUUUUUCAACAUCAUUUACCUUAAGAUCAAAAGUUCACAAAAUUGACAAUUUUUAACGGACGGUAUGGAAUAUUUGCUAAUUUAACGGUAUAAAAGAAUCAAAAUCUGCUGAAUUUUUUAUAGAAAAUUCUAUUCACUACAUAGAUAAAGAUCAAUAACUCCGAUCUUAAAUUGAAGAAUCAGAUCAUCCAUUUAUAAGGCAUCGUUCGAUUUUGACCGUUAAUUUACAUCCGCUUGAUGACCUUUAUUAUGAUUUCUAAAAAUUACGAAAUUUAUUUUCUAGAAGUUUCAAAUACUCUAGAUCAUAUUUAACGGAGUGGAUCGUCGAUUCGGAAGCUCCAUUAUUGAAAAUAACUUAUGAGUACAAAGUGCUCUAUACUCAUCAAAAAGUAGAUCCAAUGGCUAAAAACGUGAUAGCAACAUGGAGAUGAUACUUGUAAAAGUAUCCUAGAUCAACUCCUAUAUAUAUAUAUAUAUAUAAUUGAGCUAAAAAAUACUUUUAGAAGCACCACCUUUUUGGUACUUCUAAAUUUUUAACCCUUGGAUCUACUCCUUGAUUAUUAAUAAACUUUGGAUUAAACACUAUUUUACCUACCAUCAUUUACCACCAUCAUCCCAAUUCUAUAUUUCUUCAUCCAAUGGCUAAAAACUCAAAAGCACCACCUCUUUGGUGCUUUUGAAAGUAUUCUAGCUCAACACACACCACACACGAACUUCUCUUCUUUUUCUCUCUCUCAUCUCUUCUCUCUAUCUUCUCUCUUUAUAAUUAAAAUAUCUAUAUUUAUAUAUCAUAUUUAAAAAUUGAUUAUGCUUUUAAAAUACCAGUUUUUCGGUGCUUGUAGAUUUUUUAGUAUUGCGUUAGGAUAUCGCGGUUAGGAUGAUGUGGGCCUCUAGGGAUAGUGAGUUGGUUGUUGAAAGUAUUUCUAAUAGUUGAAAAUUAUCGAGAAUUAGUUUAAUGGUAAAAAACUUGCAAAGAACUAAUGCUUAGCUGUUUUCAAGGCUAUAGCCAGGAAUCUCUUUAUAUAUAUAUCCGUAGGAUAUAUUACGAUAGCAUCAAAGAAUUGGAUUAUUAAAAGUUUUCCAUCGUUUAGAUUACCCAGUUUAUUUUUUAACUGUUAGAUAUAUUUCGCUACACUUCAUCAACCUAGGGGCCACGAUAUUUAACCCACAUUUUCAAUACAUGGCUAAACUUAAUAGCACAAAUCUGUUCGGAUAUUAAUAGGAUUCGCUAGUUUUAUAUAUAUAUAUUAGUAUAAUAUAUAUAUAUCUAUUUAUAUAUAUAUAUGUCGGUUAUAUUUAACUAUCCGGGUAGCAUGGAACGUCGUUUACAAAGUUGUUUUCGAUGAUGAGUUCCAAAUCGACGAUCGGCUCCGUUAGAAUUAUUACCUAUUUGAAGUAUUAGAAACUAAUUUUCAGAUUUUUUCAAAAUCUAUUGAUAUGUGAUUCAAACAUCUCAAAUUGACCAAUUUAAUGGCCGUUGUAGUGUGUUUGAGAGUUUACGGUGAAACAUCAAAUCGAUGAAUUUUAUAGAAAUUUAUUAACUAUUAGUAGUAAGAUAAUUAUUUAUUAUGAUUUAAUCUUGGAUCAUCAUUUUUAUGAAUUUUAUUUUCAGCGUUUCAUUUAGGACUUAUUGUUUAUAGGAAAAUGGUAUUGUAAAAUUAUGAAAUUUGUUCAUAAAUAUUUUAAUGUGUAGAUCAAGUCUAACGGAGUCGAUGUCAAUUCGAAGUUGAAUAUUAAAACAGAUUGGUAGCCGGAGCGCUCUUGCUAUCUUUAGUUAGUUUCUAUAUAUAUUAUUAUUUAUACUAUAAUAUAUAUAUAUAUAUAUAUAUAAUUUGAAAUUGUCUUUUAAUUUCAUAUAUGAAUUUGAAAUUUUUUAAACCUUGUUUUACCAUAUUAUGCAAAACAAUCCUUAUUUUCUAAAAUCAAUUGCAAGAUAAAAUUUUAAAUAUUUUAUACUUUAAAAUUUAUUUAUUUAUUUAUUUUUGAGAGAUAGGUAGCACGCUACCCGCUUCGUUUAUAUACUUUAAAAUUUAUCGAUGUCUCUCUUCAGCAAGUAUUCUAUAUAAAGUCACACAUGCAGAUCUUCCUAUUUAGAAUUUUUAUCUUUGUAUAUAUAUACUUUAACUUUUCAUGCUCCACUCAAAAAUCCUAAACGCUUGUUUUUUGGCCUUCAAAUGUCCAAUUCGACAAACUAAACUUUUCUUUUUGGUUUUUUGGGGGUCAGAAACUGGCCAAAGACAUCUAAUGAUAGCAUAUGGGGAUUUCAACAAAUUAUAAUAACUUUAAUUAAAAGGCACGAUUUGUAGGAGUGCAAUAUUCCAUCAUAUGAUUUGUAUAUUUUGUUAAAUCUGUAUGCAUUAAAUAUACUAGAUCAUUAUUGGUACAAUUCAAUGCCCUUAAAUAUUAGCUAACACAUUACACUCAUAAUUUCUUUACUUUCCUAAUGAGCUGGUUCUUCUCACAUGGUUGAAAGUCAAACCUUUUUUUAUAAACUUUUUUUUUGCACGAUGAAUCUUUUCAUCCUUCUCUUGUAGAAAAUAUUACUCUUUUUAAUAGUCAAAAAUGAAAUUGCGUUACCCACGUGGUUGUUUAGAAUUUAGUAAUAUUAGUUACAGGUAAGAGAAUUGAACCACUUUAUAGUCAACAUAGACUUGUAAUACAUUAAGAAAGUUCAAUAAUUAAAAAUGGUUACGCAAAAGGCUCAGAAACAAAAUUAUAAUAUCAAAAUAUUAUAAAAAAUUAUUCAUAUAUUAUACUCACAAAACUAAGAGAACUAAAUCAUUUUAACUUAGAUGAUAAUGCGUCUCAAUAUACCGUAGGGUUUCUAAUUACAGUAAAACAGUAACACACAUCAUUGUUGCCUUUUAAUGCUUCGAUCUCUCUUCGUAGGAUUUUAAUAAAUUAGGCGUUGAACGCUAGAUCUAAUGAUCCCACAGAGAGAAAGGUCACAACAGAUUAAAUUUUUGCUUCUUUUUAAAAUCAAUAUCCAAUAUCGAGCGCUUUCCUUUGUCGGUCAGUUUUUAUCUAAGGUAUCAUUUUCUUAGAAUUCAUAUUAGUCAUCAAUCAAAUUUUGAUAGUGAUACGCUUGUUCUCGAGCGAAUUAUACGAGUCGGCACAAACACAAAUUUGAAGGUCGAUCAAGAGAUAAAUAAACUAAUUAAGGAGUUGCACUCAUGCUACAUGGUGUACAAUAUUAAUUAGUCAUGUACAAUUUUAAAUGCAGUAGUUAAUAACUGGCGAUCUCAUAUAGUGUUUAUUUUAUUUUAUUAAUUUAUUUAUUUUGAGAGAGAGAGAGAGAGAGUGGUGCAUACGCUGCGUUGCUUCCACUCUGUAGACACCCUUUUCCUUCACCGUCCAUCAAAAUAUAAAAUUGCAAAAAGAGACGGUGGGUAAAGGUGAUUGAUUGCAUUUAGUUCUAUAGGACUUUUAAUUUAUGGUGCAAAUACUUUGGGACACGUGGUUUGACUUGUCAUUUGAGAGGGCACAGGAUUCGAGGGAAAAAAGAAGGUUGACUUCGCUGGCAAGAAAAUUAUCGUUGACUUGUAGUUAUAAACGACUAAGGUUGUGUUUUUGUUUCUUGUACAUUAAUCUCAAUUUUUUUUUAAUUAAUUGAAAAAAGAUAUUCCUUGUUUCGUGGCUGGUAAAUUUUUUUUUUUUCAGAUUUCAAAGCAAAACGUAGCCUUACGUUGCUGCAGCGAGCUUUUCGCUCUACCUGGUGGACGGUGUGAGAGAAGUNAAAAAAAAUGCGGCCUUAGUUUGCUGCAGCACGCGGUCCACUCUACCUCGUGGAUGGCGUGAGAGAGGUCAAUGGUAGACCUCUCUCUCCCUCUAUUAUUUUACAUAUAUGUAUGUAUGCAUGAUCGAUUUUGUACUCAUAAAUUAUUUUCAAUUAUAGAGAUUUUCAAUCGACGAUCCAUACCGUUAAAUAUUAUCUAAGAUAUUUAAAAUUUCUAUCAAAAUUGAUAGUUCUUAACAGCUGGUAUGCAAUACUUGCUAUUUUAACGGUGUAAAAUAAUCUGAGUCGGUUGAUAUUUUGAUAAAAAAUUCUAUUCACGGGGGGAUCUCAUAUAGUGUUUAUUUUAUUUUGUUAAUUUAUUUAUUUUGAGAGAGAGAGAGAGAGUGGCGCAUACGCUGCGCUGCUUCCACUCUGUAGACACCCUUUUCCUUCACCGUCCAUCA
rnacentral:lncRNA from 1 species